rfam:Zootermopsis nevadensis contig26357, whole genome shotgun sequence.
GCCACGGUGGUCUAGCGGUUAGAACGCUGGCCUUGUAAUCCUGGGGUGUCGGGUUCGAUUCCCGGCGGUGCCC